rnacentral:rRNA from 1 species
CGCGUAGGUGGUUAGGUAAGCGAGAUGUAGAAAGCCCCGGGCUUAACCUGGGAACGGCAUUUACGAACUGUCUGACUAGAGUAUGGUAGAGGGUAGUGGAAUUUCCUGUGUAGCGGUGAAAUGCGUAGAUAUAGGAAGGAACACCAGUGGCGAAGGCGGCUACCUGGACCAAUACUGACACUGAGGUGCGAAAGCGUGGGGAGCAAACA